rnacentral:rRNA from 1 species
GCACAACGCGAAGAACCUUACCUACUCUUGACAUCCACGGAACUUUUCAGAGAUGAAUUGGUGCCUUCGGGAACCGUGAGACAGGUGCUGCAUGGCUGUCGUCAGCUCGUGUUGUGAAAUGUUGGGUUAAGUCCCGCAACGAGCGCAACCCUUAUCCUUUGUUGCCAGCGGUUAGGCCGGGAACUCAAAGGAGACUGCCAGUGAUAAACUGGAGGAAGGUGGGGAUGACGUCAAGUCAUCAUGGCCCUUACGAGUAGGGCUACACACGUGCUACAAUGGCGCAUACAAAGAGAAGCGACCUCGCGAGGGCAAGCGGACCUCAUAAAGUGCGUCGUAGUCCGGAUUGGAGUCUGCAACUCGACUCCAUGAAGUCGGAAUCGCUAGUAAUCGUAGAUCAGAAUGCUACGGUGAAUACGUUCCCGGGUCUUGUACACACCG